GUAGUGAACCUGCGGAAGGAUCAUUACAGAACCGUUGACACGAGCUGUUGCUGGCCCUCGAAAGGGGCACGUGCACGCUCUGUUUACACAUCCACUCACACCUGUGCACCCUCUGUAGUUCUAUGGCCUUGGGGACCUUGUCCCCUUGCUGUGGUCCUACGUCUUUACACACACACCAUAACAAAGUAUCAUGGAAUGUAUGUCGCGUUUAACGCAAUACAAUACAACUUUCAGCAACGGAUCUCUUGGCUCUCGCAUCGAUGAAGAACGCAGCGAAAUGCGAUAAGUAAUGUGAAUUGCAGAAUUCAGUGAAUCAUCGAAUCUUUGAACGCACCUUGCGCCCUUUGGCUAUUCUGAAGGGCAUGCCUGUUUGAGUAUCAUGAACACCUCAACUCUCAUGGCCUGCCAUGAUGAGCUUGGACUCUGGGGGUCUUGCCGGCCAAGUGUCGGCUCCUCUCAAAUGGAUCAGCUUUCCAGUGUUUGGUGGCGUCACAGGUGUGAUAACUAUCUACGCUUGUGGUUCUCCACCAUGUAACCUUCAGUGAUGGAGGUUCGCUGGAGCUCACAGAUGUCUCUCCUUGGGAGGACAGCUC
rnacentral:rRNA from 1 species